CACACUGCAGCAGGGCUCUGCUUCUGCUUUCCUGUGGCUGGCCCCUCCCACCACACUCGGGGCUGCAGCAUGGAUCAGCACAGCAGCAGCUUCCUCCUCCUGGCUCCUGCUCCUCGCCUCUCACUGGAGUGUCUGCACUAGGCUGUCUCCCCUCACUGUCCCAGGAUCAGCUCCCAGCCUUUACUGGAAGGGGCAACAUACCCAGCCGUCGGUUCCCAGAUUGAGCCCCGUGCAGAGGCCCUGAAGAAGAAUUUUGCUCGGACAAGCCGAAAUAGAGUGGUCCGAACACGAGAAGCAUUUUGAGAUUCUGACAGAAGAGUGCGGGUGAGUCAGUUAUCAAUGUGUCACUCUUUUGCCUGUCCUGCUGCAAGUGAAUGAAGAUAUUGGGCUCCUUUGAUGUGACUCAGUCAAUAAGCCAUUACCUUCUCUCGUAAUCAAAGGCUGCCAGCUGUCUCCACCGUUGGCUGAUAAAGGUACAGACCGCAGCACUGACUGCCCAAACCCAGCAAGGGAGGCCUGAGCUCAGCGGCAAGAGGAAGAGCAACAGGUGAAAUACAGAUUUAACAGUACGCUCCUCUUCCUAUCUGCUCAGCACAGAGCACACCAACAUAACUGUCAUAUUGCCCUUUCUGGCUGCCAGCACACUGGGCGACAAUCCUGGAAACGUGUUGCAUGGAAAAUGCAGGAUUCGUAAAAAAAUUGGAAUUCUUUCGUUUUGUAAAUUGGAACAUGUAUGCAAAUUGCAAAUGCAGGUUGAGUCUCCCUUAUCCAAAACGCUUGGGACCAGAGGUAUUUUGGAUAUGGGAUUUUCCCGUAUUUUGGAAUAAUUGCAUACCAUAAUGAGAUAUCAUGGUGAUGGGACCUAAAUCUAAGCACAGAAUGCAUUUAUGUUACAUAUACACCUUAUACACUCAGCCUGAAGGUCAUUUAAUACAAUAUUUUUAAUAACUUUGUGUAUUAAACAAAGUUUGUGUACAUUGAGCCAUCAAAAAACAAAGGUUUCACUAUCUCACUCUCACUCAAAAAAGUCUGUAUUUCGGAAUAUUCCGUAUUUCGGAAUAUAUGGAUAUGGGAUACUCAACCUGUAUUACAAUGUAGCCCAGAAUUCCCCUGUUGGGAGGUGUGUUUUUUUUCAUGACACCUCCCUCUGGAAUACAUCUAACUUGAUGCA